GCGGGCGUGCAAAGUGGCUUGUUUUGUCGCUGAACUGCGCGCGAGUUGCGUGGGUUCGAUUCCCAUCACCCGCUCCA
rnacentral:tRNA from 1 species